AUUGAACGCUGGCGGCAUGCCUUACACAUGCAAGUCGAACGGCAGCACGGACUUCGGUCUGGUGGCGAGUGGCGAACGGGUGAGUAAUGCAUCGGAACGUGCCCAAUCGUGGGGGAUAACGUAGCGAAAGUUACGCUAAUACCGCAUACGAUCUAAGGAUGAAAGCGGGGGAUCGCAAGACCUCGCGCGAAUGGAGCGGCCGAUGUUAGAUUAGGUAGUUGGUGGGGUAAAGGCUCACCAAGCCGACGAUCUAUAGCUGGUCUGAGAGGAUGAUCAGCCACACUGGGACUGAGACACGGCCCAGACUCCUACGGGAGUCAGCAGUGGGGAAUUUUGGACAAUGGGCGCAAGCCUGAUCCAGCCAUUCCGCGUGCAGGAUGAAGGCCCUCGGGUUGUAAACUGCUUUUGUACAGAACGAAAAGCUCUGGGUUAAUACCCUGGGGUCAUGACGGUACUGUAAGAAUAAGCACCGGCUAACUACGUGCCAGCAGCCGCAGUAACAC
rnacentral:rRNA from 1 species